GGGCAGGAGAGAGGAAGCAACAACUUGGCUUUCACAGCUGGAGAGGGGAGAGCUUCAGCAGCACGACUGGCUAAAGUCAGUGGAAACAAGCCAGGAGCCAGUGGAGGACCGUGGGCCACCCCAGAAACUGCUCCAGAGUGGGUUCAUGGACUCAUAUGUCUGCUUCACUGACACUGGUCAAGGAAGUUAGUCCUCUGAGGGAAUGGUGGGGGACAACCCUUACGAGGAGGCAGCUCCAGCCCUAUCUCCAGGCCCUGCUUUGGCUAAAUCUCAAUGUGGAUGCUCUUCUUGUGGCUCUCGGCUACACGAUGGUCCUUGGCCUGCUGUGGGUAAGGAGACGUGCAGACUUAACCUGGCAGGGCUCAGAGUGAUCACUUCAAGUGGCUUUGGUUGGCCUUGGACAUCCUUGAAGCACUUUUUCUGCCCUCCUCUUGAGUGUAUGCCUUGACUGAGCUGGGAAAAUAAAACUUGCUUCAGGAGUCUGGAGCCAGACAUCCAGAUGACGUGGCUGGCCCAGAGAGGUUGACAUUAGAUGAACGUUGCCUCACUUCUCGUGGUGUUUACUUGCAAGAGAAUGCUAAUGUUGGUGCAUCUGUCUUCCUACUGGAUUCGAAGGAUCUUCCGCAGGCAGUAUUGAUGGUGCUUCUCCAGCUGCUUGAGGUGUCUCCUGUAUGUUGUCCAUAUCUCGGCUCCAUACAGUAAGGUGGGGAUCACAAUUGUUUGAUAAACCGUGAGCUUGG